GAUGAACGCUGGCGGCGUGCCUAAUACAUGCAAGUCGAGCGAACGGACGAGAAGCUUGCUUCUCUGAUGUUAGCGGCGGACGGGUGAGUAACACGUGGAUAACCUACCUAUAAGACUGGGAUAACUUCGGGAAACCGGAGCUAAUACCGGAUAAUAUUUUGAACCGCAUGGUUCAAAAGUGAAAGACGGUCUUGCUGUCACUUAUAGAUGGAUCCGCGCUGCAUUAGCUAGUUGGUAAGGUAACGGCUUACCAAGGCAACGAUGCAUAGCCGUCCUGAGAGGGUAAUCGGCCACACUGGAACUGAGACACGGUCCAGACUCCUACGGGAGGCAGCAGUAGGGAAUCUUCCGCAAUGGGCGAAAGCCUGACGGAGCAACGCCGCGUGAGUGAUGAAGGUCUUCGGAUCGUAAAACUCUGUUAUUAGGGAAGAACAUAUGUGUAAGUAACUGUGCACAUCUUGACGGUACCUAAUCAGAAAGCCACGGCUAACUACGUG
rnacentral:rRNA from 1 species